rnacentral:rRNA from 1 species
AUUGAACGCUGGCGGCAGGCCUAACACAUGCAAGUUGAGCGACGAACCAGGGCUUGCCCUGGGGCAAGGCAGCGAACGGGUGAGUAACACGUGGGUAACCUGCCCCGAUGACCGGGACAACCCGAGGAAACUCGGGCUAAUACCGGAUGUGUCCCCUGGACCCAAGUCCAGUGGGCAAAGGAAGCUUCGGCCUCCACAUUGGGAGGGGCCCGCGGCCCAUUAGCUUGUUGGUGAGGUAAGAGCUCACCAAGGCAACGAUGGGUAGCUGGUCUGAGAGGACGAUCAGCCACACUGGGACUGAGACACGGCCCAGACUCCUACGGGAGGCAGCAGUGGGGAAUCUUGCGCAAUGCGCGAAAGCGUGACGCAGCAACGCCGCGUGGGGGAAGAAGGCCUUCGGGUUGUAAACCCCUUUCAGGAGGGACGAAGGUGCGGCCGUGAACAGCGGUCCGCACUGACGGUACCUCCAGAAGAAGCCCCGGCUAACUACGUGCCAGCAGCCGCGGUAA